rnacentral:rRNA from 1 species
UGGCGGACGGGUGAGUAAUGUCUGGGAAACUGCCUGAUGGAGGGGGAUAACUACUGGAAACGGUAGCUAAUACCGCAUAAUGUCGCAAGACCAAAGAGGGGGACCUUCGGGCCUCUUGCCAUCGGAUGUGCCCAGAUGGGAUUAGCUAGUAGGUGGGGUAACGGCUCACCUAGGCGACGAUCCCUAGCUGGUCUGAGAGGAUGACCAGCCACACUGGAACUGAGACACGGUCCAGACUCCUACGGGAGGCAGCAUG